rnacentral:hammerhead_ribozyme from 1 species
ACCUAGCUGACGAGCCUCAAAUAGGACGAAACGCGCAUCCAUGAU